AGGGUGUAAACGCUGCAGACUUGGUGUUGGGGGCCCUUUGGGGGCAUUCAGUGCCGGAGAGAAGUUGUUAAGUCUGCUACUUGGGGAGUACGUCCGCAAGGAUGAAACUUAAAGGAAUUGGCGGGGGAGGCACCGCAACGGGAGGAGCGUGCGGUUUAAUUGGAUUCAACACCGUAAAACUCACCAGGGAAGACUGUUACAUGAAGGCCGAGAUGAAGACUCUGCUAGAUUUUCAGAGAGGAGGUGCAUGGCGUCAGUGACU
rnacentral:rRNA from 1 species